rnacentral:rRNA from 1 species
UUUGAGCGGGGAUAGCCCAGAGAAAUUUUGGAUUAAUACCCCAUGGUAUAUUUAGAUGGCAUCAUUUGAAUAUUAAAGAUUUAUCACUCGAAGAUGGCUGUGCGUAUGAUUAGGUAGUUGGCGGGGUAACGGCCCACCAAGCCUACGAUCAUUAACUGGUGUGAGAGCACGACCAGUCACACGGGCACUGAGACACGGGCCCGACUCCUACGGGAGGCAGCAGUAAGGAAUAUUGGUCAAUGGACGCAAGUCUGAACCAGCCAUGCCGCGUGGAGGAUGAAGGUCCUCUGGAUUGUAAACUUCUUUUAUCUGGGACGAAAAAAGGGAAUUCUUUCUCGUCUGACGGUACCAGAUGAAUAAGCA